GAUAAACGCUGGCGGCGCACAUAAGACAUGCAAGUCGAACGGACAGAAGCCUUAGUUUACUAUGGUGGAAGUUAGUGGCGGACUGGUGAGUAACACGUAAGCAAUCUGCCUAUCAGAGGGGAACAACAGUUAGAAAUGACUGCUAAUACCGCAUAUGCCUAAGUAACACAUGUUACAAUAGGGAAAGGAGCAAUCCGCUGAUAGAUGAGCUUGCGUCUGAUUAGAUAGUUGGUGGGGUAACGGCCUACCAAGUCGACGAUCAGUAGCCGGACUGAGAGGUUGAACGGCCACAUUGGGACUGAGAUACGGCCCAGACUCCUACGGGAGGCAGCAGUCGGGAAUAUUGCGCAAUGGAGGAAACUCUGACGCAGUGACGCCGCGUGCAGGAAGAAGGUUUUCGGAUUGUAAACUGCUUUAGACAGGGAAGAAACAAGACAGUACCUGUAGAAUAAGCUCCGGCUAACUACGUGCCAGCAGCCGACGG
rnacentral:rRNA from 1 species